ACAAGGUUUCCGUAGGUGAACCUGUGGAAGGAUCAUUACCGAGUGAGGGCCCUCUGGGUCCAACCUCCCACCCGUGUCUAUCGUACCUUGUUGCUUCGGCGGGCCCGCCGUUUCGACGGCCGCCGGGGAGGCCUCGCGCCCCCGGGCCCGCGCCCGCCGAAGACCCCAACAUGAACGCUGUUCUGAAAGUAUGCAGUCUGAGUUGAUUAUCAUAAUCAGUUAAAACUUUCAACAACGGAUCUCUUGGUUCCGGCAUCGAUGAAGAACGCAGCGAAAUGCGAUAAGUAAUGUGAAUUGCAGAAUUCAGUGAAUCAUCGAGUCUUUGAACGCACAUUGCGCCCCCUGGUAUUCCGGGGGGCAUGCCUGUCCGAGCGUCAUUGCUGCCCUCAAGCACGGCUUGUGUGUUGGGCCCCGUCCCCUCCCCCGGGGACGGGCCCGAAAGGCAGCGGCGGCACCGCGUCCGGUCCUCGAGCGUAUGGGGCUUUGUCACCCGCUCUGUAGGCCCGGCCGGCGCCAGCCGACACCCAACUUUAUUCUAAGGUGACCUCG
rnacentral:misc_RNA from 1 species